rnacentral:rRNA from 1 species
AUACGGAGGGUCCGAGCGUUAUCCGGAAUCAUUGGGUUUAAAGGGUCCGUAGGCGGGAAUCUAAGUCAGUGGUGAAAUCUUGCAGCUCAACUGUAAAAUUGCCAUUGAUACUGGAUUUCUUGAAUUAGUGUGAAGUGGUUAGAAUGUGUAGUGUAGUGGUGAAAUGCAUAGAUAUUACACAGAAUACCAAUUGCGAAGGCAGAUCACUAACACUAUAUUGACGCUGAGGGACGAAAGCGUGGGGAGCGAACAGGAUUAGAAACCCUAGUAGUCC